ACUACAAAUGAACAUUCUUCUGUCGAUUCUUGUUUUUUUUAUGUCACAAUUCCAACCCUCCUCCUUUAUCCGGGCUGGGACCGGCAAAAGUGACCCAAAAGAGACACUCUGGCGGAGUUACUUAGUUUUUUAUUAGAUUUUUUUGAUUUUGUUUUUUACAUUUACAACCCGCCCUGAAUGUAAGCCUGGGCGGGAUCAGCCAGCGGCGGCAUCCCGCAUGCGCGAUUCAUUUGCAUUCUGGACACGGAGGGAUGAACAUCUCCUGCUCUGAUUGCAGCGCGAGGACUGGGCCGCCUGCCCACCCCUCCUCCCCUUGUCAUCGAUGGCCAGCCGGCAUACACGGUGAGACACCUCCUGGGUGUUCGACCACGGGGCUGGGGUUUCCAGUACCUGGUUGACUGGGAGGGUUACGGCCCGGAGGAGAGGUGCUGGGUUCCCACUAGAGACAUCCUGGAUCCAGCCCUCAUCGCCGACUUCCAACGCCGACACCCGGUCAACCAGUUAUGCGCCCAGGUAGGAUGCCAGGUGGCGCCCUUAGAGGGGGGGUAGUGUCAUGCUCUGAUCUGUUUCACCUGUCCUUGUGCUUGUCUCCACCCCCUCCAGGUGUCGCUUAUUAUCCCCUGUGUAUUUAUCCCUGUGUUUCCUGUCUCUCUGUGCCAGUUCGUCUUGUUUGUCAAGUCAACCAGCGUUUUUGUGUCUCAGCUCCUGCUUUUUCCAGUGUCUCUUUUCUCGCCCUCCUGGUUUUGACCCUUGCCUGUCGUGACUCUGAGCCCGCCUGCCUGACCACUCUGCCUGCCCCUGACCUCGAGCCUGGCUAUCGUCUUGUACCGUUUGAACUCUGACCUGGUUACUGAACCCUUGCCUGCCCUGACCUCGAGCCUGCCUAUCGUCUUGUACAGACCUGGUUUAUGAACUAUCGCCUGUACCCGACCUGACUUUUGCCUAUCCCCUUCUACUAUAAUAAAUAUCGGAGCUCAAC